rnacentral:rRNA from 1 species
GACGAACGCUGGCGGCGUGCUUAACACAUGCAAGUCGAACGGAAAGGCCCUGCUUUUGUGGGGUGCUCGAGUGGCGAACGGGUGAGUAACACGUGAGUAACCUGCCCUUGACUUUGGGAUAACUUCAGGAAACUGGGGCUAAUACCGGAUAGGAGCUCCUGCUGCAUGGUGGGGGUUGGAAAGUUUCGGCGGUUGGGGAUGGACUCGCGGCUUAUCAGCUUGUUGGUGGGGUAGUGGCUUACCAAGGCUUUGACGGGUAGCCGGCCUGAGAGGGUGACCGGCCACAUUGGGACUGAGAUACGGCGCAGACUCCUACGGGAGGCAGCAGUGGGGAAUAUUGCAGAAUGGGCGGAAGCCUGAUGCAGCAACGCCGCGUGCGGGAUGACGGCCUUCGGGUUGUAAACCGAUUUCGCCUGUGACGAAGCGUGAGUGACGGUAAUGGGUAAAGAAGCACCGGCUAACUACGUG